GGGGUUGUGGUUUAGUGGUAUAAUGUUCGUUUUGCAUACGAAAGGUCAGGGGUUCGAUUCCCUUCAACUCCA